rnacentral:lncRNA from 1 species
UAUAUAAAUCAUACCAUUUAUAUUAAUAUAGUUAAUAUGUAAUAUAGUGUAUUGCAUUUAAAUUUUAAAAUAAAACUCACUGAAACACGUGGUCUUUACAAGAGUACGGCUGAUUGAACUGCAGUUAACUACAGCUACUACAGAAACUACAAGACCCAUAAGCCAGUUUAGGGCUAGGUUGUGUUUAUGUGUGAGCGCGCGUGAGUGACUGAGGGCGCGUGUGCGCGCGCUUGUGUUGUCUGCCGACUCGCCUGACGUCACCGCUGGAACUGGCCUGUCACGCGCUGUUAGUAAAAGUUGGGAUAGGAGCUCGAGACGGAGAGCAGCAGCGAAUUUACGGACGAGCUCGAUCAACGGUCGCGCUGACGCACAACGCUCACCCCCCACCCCCCUUCACGCCGCAGGCAAAAAGUUCAAGCCGCUGUGAGUUCGCUGAACCUCCACAGAAGGUCGACCAGUUUGGAUUAUUGUGAGGGAGAAGCUAUUAUAUUUCUGCCCGGGCUUAGAGAGAAAAAGUUUAAAAGUUUUGCCUUUAUCAUCAGUCAAUGUAGUGAGUUUAUUAAAGAGUCGGCGUUCUUACACGGGUGAGCCCGAGCUGUCAAACCCGAUGACUACUGCAAACUGCCCCGGGAAUGAAGAGCUGGACUUCAGAUUGAUCUUCGGGGAGGACGGGCAGCAGCCGCCGCCGCUAGGCCCCGCAGCACCUGAUCUGAUAUUGAUGUCAUCAGCAUGCAUACAGACACACAGUCACACUGCAACAGGUAGGGACAGUUGGUCUCACCUCUGAGUGACUUUACUGGCAAAAGCCUGUGUAUUAGUAGCGUCACAGACUGUGCAAGGCAUUGAGUACUUCUCAGUGCACUACAGCGAUUUCCCACUAUUAUUAGCUUAGGAACAGCAAAGCUUCUUAGGGCUCUUUAUUUAACCAGAUAGCCAGCCUGAUGUGAAACUGAACAGCAUCUGAUAUAAGCAAGCAGACACUGGGACUCCUCUCCCCAUACUGCAUAAGAUCAGUUGUACUUCAUCAUAGAUUAUUACUGACCCAGGUUCUGUGAGACUGCUCUGGGGGGGUUUGGAGACGGAUGAAAGUUUUCUAUGAACCUCAAGCAACUGUCACACUGUUUAAGCGGUAAAUUAGAGUUGUUGUCGUAACUAAACUGCAUGCCAUAUUAUUAGUCACAAUAC